UACAGAGGGUGCUAGCGUUGUUCGGAAUCAUUGGGCGUAAAGGGCGUGUAGGCGGUUUGUUAAGUCGAACGUGAAAUCCCCGGGCUCAACCCGGGAACUGCGUCCGAUACUGGUUGGCUUGAAUCCGGGAGAGGGAUGCGGAAUUCCAGGUGUAGCGGUGAAAUGCGUAGAUAUCUGGAGGAACACCGGUGGCGAAGGCGGCAUCCUGGACCGGCAUUGACGCUGAGGCGCGAAAGCCAGGGGAGCAAACGGG
rnacentral:rRNA from 1 species